ACUUGUCUAACUCAAUUGGUAGAGUCUAAGGCUUUUAACCUUAUGGUUAUGGGUUCAAGCCUCAUGAUGGGCA
rnacentral:tRNA from 1 species